rnacentral:lncRNA from 1 species
AAAGGAACGAUGGAGGAGGCUGGGGCGCUAGGAUGUGGUUGGGAUGCUGGCAGCUGCUCUCGGGAUGUGCUGAGGCGGGGUCGUGAUCGACGGGAGGAAGAAGCUGGGGCUCGUGGAGGGGGCUGUGGACUUCCUUCUUUGGCCCAAGUGGGAGACGCGAUGCAGGGGGGAACGAGCUGGCCGUACGGGCUGUUGAUUGGCUGGGGUGUGUUCUCAACGGAUGGAGAUGAACCUGAUGAAACAGGUUUGGGAAGUGGGAUGCUUGGUUUGAUUGCGUUGAUGGCGUGGACGGCCGGGAUUUCAUGCAUGCAUGGCAGCUGGGGAAUUUGUUGAGCUCGGGCUGCCGGGCAUUGGGCUCAAAUCCAAUGUUAUUGGGUCUCUUGAUUUUCUUGCACUCAAACACAAAUACAACGUUAAUUAAUUAAUUUUAUCAUUAUAGAUUAACUAUAAUACUAAUUAAAAUGGUACGACGAUUGCACUUUUGUGCUCUCAUCACACCCUCCAACUAGCUUAUUGCUAGUCUUUAGCAAUUUCG